AUACGUAGGAGACAAGCGUUAUCCGGAUUUAUUGGGCGUAAAGAGCAUGUAGGCGGGCUCCCAAGUCGGACGUGAAAUCUCUCGGCUUAACUGAGAGGGGUCGUUCGAAACUAGGGGUCUUGAGGGCAGGAGAGGGGAGUAGAAUUCCCGGUGAAGUGGUGGAAUACGUAGAUAUCGUGAGGAAUACAAGUGGCGAAGGCGGCUCCCUGGCCUGGACCUGACGCUGAGAUGCGAAAGCGUGGGUAGCGAACGGGAUUAGAUACCCCGGUAGUCCACGCCCUAAACGAUGGAUACUAGGUGUCGGGGGUUUUACCCCCCCGGUGCCGUAGCAAACGCGAUAAGUAUCCCGCCUGAGGACUACGGUCGCAAGACUAAA
rnacentral:rRNA from 1 species